AAUCCUGGCUCAGGAUGAACGCUGGCGGCGUGCUUAACACAUGCAAGUCGAACGGAACUCCUAUGAUUGAGGUUUCGGCCAAAAGAAUAGGACGUUUAGUGGCGGACGGGUGAGUAACGCGUGAGUAACCUGCCUUGGAGUGGGGAAUAACACAGUGAAAACUGUGCUAAUACCGCAUAAUGCAUUUGGGUCGCAUGAUUCUGAAUGCCAAAGAUUUAUCGCUCUGAGAUGGACUCGCG
rnacentral:rRNA from 1 species